GGUACACUCAGACGACGAGAAUACGUAUAAAUUUGAAGCGAUUGAAAGUUGAAAGAGAGAGCGAGUGAGAACCGACAAAGAAAAAAUAAUCGGUGGGAUCUCUCAAGUCUCAACCUAUCGCUUCUUCCUGGUUUUUCGAUUUGGGGGUUUUCUCAAUGGACGACGGCGAGCUUGACUUUUCGAACCAGGAAGUGUUUUCGAGUCCGAACAUGGGCGAGAUUCCGAGCAGCGGUUCAAUGGACAGCUUCUUCGACGAGCUUCUCAAGGACACGCACGCCUGCACGCACACCCACACGUGCAACCCUCCCGGCCCCGAUUUCUCGCACACCCACACGUGCUACCACGUCCACACCAAGAUUGUGCCCGCUCCGGCGGAGGACCUCGUCGCCACCGACGACACCGCCGAGUCCGCGGAGAAGAAGUCGUCAAAGAAGCGACCUUUGGGGAACAAGGAAGCGGUUCGCAAGUACAGAGAGAAGAAGAAGGCACGUGCGGCGUCGCUGGAGGACGAGGUUGUGAAACUGAGGGCUCUGAACCAGCAUUUGAUGAAGAAGCUGCAGGGGCAGGCUGCUCUGGAGGCUGAAAUUGCGAGGUUGAAGUGUUUGCUUGUCGACAUAAGGGGGAGGAUUGAAGGGGAGAUUGGGUCUUUUCCUUAUCAGAAAUCGCCCAAUGCUAACCCUCCAAUGGCUAACGUGCCUGGUUCUUAUGUCAUGAACCCUUGUAACGUGCAGUGUGAUGACAGGGUGUAUUGCCUUCGCCCUGGUGGGGAUGGGAAGAUUGGGGAGAGUGAGUCGUUGAAUGUGGAAGGUUUUGGUGGUUGUGAGUUUGAGAACCUGCAGUGUCUUGCUGGCCAGAAUUUGGGGCUCAAGGACCUUCGUGCUUGUGGGGUUGGACAACAGGCCGGGUCUAAUGGAUCAAGUAAAAGAAAAGGGGGAUCUCGUGCAGCAACUGCUGGUUGAAGAAUUAAUGAAAUGAUGGCUUUCAUCAUUGCUAUGGUUUUCAUUGAUGGAUUACAGAACAUAGGGAUGAUGGGGUGUGUUUCAUCUUUCAGUACUUAGUGAUGUGGACAGGUGACUCAAAAAUAAAGAUGCAAUCUUGGUAGAGAUCACGGUCAAUAAAGUUUGAAGAAGUUUUACAUGUUCCUUAAAGAUAGUUGAUUGAUGUACUGACGGAGAAAAAAAAAAUGUAAUUUGACUUGAUUAUGAUGAUUCGAUAGGCUACAAAGAAUAACCUAUUGACGUGGAACAAAGUGGCAAUGACUUGAAGUGAACGGAGGUUUUUAUAACAGUGUUUAAGAGUUACUUAAAGUUGUUUUAGUUUUACUCAUUUUGAAGCAUCAAAAGGAGAGGCGAUGGACUGAUUUUUUUUGUGAUACAGCCAUUGAUUUAUCUUUUUUUAUUUUUUGAAGAUAGUGAAACCCCAUCUUUAAUUCUA